AACACCGCGUGCGGACUCGCCCGCCCUCCCGGAGACGCGCUGGCCGCCCUGGACCGGCUUCCCCGACUGUCCCCCGAUGGGCGUGGGGACAGCCAUCCAGUGAACUGCGUCUCGGCAACAAAGGACCGGACCGGGCGGCCUGUCCGGACCCGAGACCAGAGUCACUUGUGUGGCCCGUCGACAUCCCAAAAGAGCCGCCCUGCCUCUCCCUCCCCUCCCGUUUCCGGCUCCAGUCCAGCCCUUCCUGCCCGGCCAGCGCGGGUUCGCCUCCCGCCGCGGAUCCCGUCCCGCCUUCCUCCAGGAGCCCUCCUCACUCGGGAUGAGUGAGUGCCGCCCUUCUCAGCCCUUUGGCUAAGAUCCGACUUGUCUUGCCGCAGUGACACCCGAGUGAAUGGGAAGGGACAGCGUCUCGUCACGACGCCGCCUCCCCUGGCCCUUCCUGGCUGGCGCACGUCGCAGGCUGCACAGGCCUUCUCUGUCCUCUGCUCCAGUGAGGCUUGCUUUCCAAGAAAGGUAAUACAUCGAACUAGGUGAAGGUCUGCGAAGGUUGCCCCUUCCCAAAGAUGUUUAUUCUGACAGAAGACCGAGAGCUCAGUCUGCGAUGCUGGAAAUGCAGCAUCUGGGAAAGGCCUCAGAGAAGGAGGCUCACAGAAUGUUAAAUUGGAAGCUGCAACUAAGGACCAAGGAUACAAAAGAUAUUAGAUUUCACAGAAACCAUUCAAGAAUUGCAGAUUUGACACUUUGACUCCUUCCCGGCCUGGAAGGAGGAGUGCCUGAGAGGAGGGUUUCUCUGGUGAGCGCUCCUUGGACAAGGGUCACGGUGGGUCCCAGGCGCAGGCCGGCCGUGUGCCCCCACCCUGGCUUGCAACAUGCUGAUGGCCCUUGGGGGGCUGCGACCCUACCCGCAGUGGGAUCCCAGCACCGAACCGCUGGGCUUCGCACCCCCUUUAACCAGACAGCACGUGGGGCCAGACUGGAGCGUGGAGCCUGCCUCAGCGACAGACUCCCAGACACUCACUGCUUCCUCAGUUCAGCCUUGGUAACCACGAGUCCUCACCGAGUUGGAAACUAUAGCUGAAAGUGCUCUUGACAGAUGGUAUCGGUCAACACGCCGCAGCCUCAGACUUGCCAGAGCUCACGACCAGGCCGACGUGGUCUGCCCCAGACGCACAUCGUCAUUACUGGCGCCCGUGACCCUGAGGAAUCUUGCCUUAUUACCAGCCCCCUUGAAAGCAUGUCAUUUUGUCAACGCAAAAAUCUCGCUACACCCUAAGACACUGGCCGAUGAGUUUGCAGUCCCUAGCGUGGAGCCCUGCUCACAGCACACGUUCCGAGCUCCCUGACGGAGAGAACGCGGGUGCCAGCCGCUCCCUGCCCCUCUGAGCCACUGGGAGGCACCUGCGCUGCCUUGUGACACGCUGGGCACAGGGCACAGCUUCUCCUUAAGUGCGCACCUUCCUCU